CUAACGAAUAAGGGGUCGGCAAGUUCUGGUGUCAGCCGCCGCGGUAAAACCAGCACCUCAAGUGGUCAGGAUGAUUAUUGGGCCUAAAGCAUCCGUAGCCGGCUCUGUAAGUUUUCGGUUAAAUCUGUACGCUCAACGUACAGGCUGCCGGGAAUACUGCAGAGCUAGGGAGUGGGAGAGGUAGACGGUACUCGGGAGGAACUGGUAAAAUGCUUUGAUCUCUCGAUGACCACCUCUGGCGAAGGCGGUCUACCAGAACACGUCCGACGGUGAGGGAUGCAAGCUGGGGGAGCAAACCGGAUUAGAUACCCGGGUAGUCCCAGCUGUAAACUAUGCAAACUCAGUGAUGCAUUGGCUUGUGGCCAAUGCAGUAUUGCAGGGAAGCCGUUAAGUUUGCCGCCUGGGAAGUACGUACGCAAGUAUGAAACUUAAAGGAAUUGGCGGGGGA
rnacentral:rRNA from 1 species